UACGAAGGGGGCUAGCGUUGCUCGGAAUUACUGGGCGUAAAGCGCACGUAGGCGGCUUUCUAAGUCGGAGGUGAAAUCCUGGAGCUCAACUCCAGAACUGCCUUCGAUACUGGAGAGCUUGAGUCCGGGAGAGGUGAGUGGAACUGCGAGUGUAGAGGUGAAAUUCGUAGAUAUUCGCAAGAACACCAGUGGCGAAGGCGGCUUACUGGACCGGUUCUGACGCUGAGGCGCGAAAGCGUGGGGAGCAAACAGG
rnacentral:rRNA from 1 species